GAAACACAGAGCUCAGUGAAUAGAACUGGUCUUCUCAUUUCCAGACAACUUGUAACAAAGACUUCACCAUGAGAAUCAUAAAAUAGGUGGAUGAAGGAGGAUAAGGUGCGAGCGGGGCUCUGAGCCGAGUCGAGACGAGACGAGCUCUGGGAGCAGCGUGUGCAGAGUGUGCGAGGUGGGAUGAUAAAGGUAAAGGGCAGGCAGUAGCAGGACCUCCAGUGAAGGGCCAUUAAUCUACUGGGGUGUGUGUGCCACUGACUGCCUGACCGUUAUAGCCACACAAAGCCAUCGCCUUGACCCUAAAGCAGAAGUAGCCCUGCAGAUGUGCUGAAAAAGCAGCCAGAUAAAUCAGAAUCGGCUUCCAGGAGCACUACGGGGAUGAUCGGCCGGAGCCGAGUAGAAAGCACGCCAUUAAAACGGGUUGCAUCCA